CAGUCGCCGCGGUAAUACAGAGGGUGCGAGCGUUAAUCGGAUUUACUGGGCGUAAAGCGUGCGUAGGCGGCUAAUUGAGUCGGAUGUGAAAUCCCCGAGCUUAACUUGGGAAUUGCAUUCGAUACUGGUUAGCUAGAGUGUGGGAGAGGAUGGUAGAAUUCCAGGUGUAGCGGUGAAAUGCGUAGAGAUCUGGAGGAAUACCGAUGGCGAAGGCAACCAUCUGGCCUAACACUGACGCUGAGGUACGAAAGCAUGGGGAGCAAACAGGAUUAGAUACCCGUGUAGUCCCUGUCUCUUAUAC
rnacentral:rRNA from 1 species